UGGGAGCCUGCACUCCACAGACCCUCUCCUUGCCUCUUCCCUCACCUCAGCCUCCGCUCCCCGCCCUCUUCCCGGCCCAGGGCGCCGGCCCACCCUUCCCUCCGCCGCCCCCCGGCCGCGGGGAGGACAUGGCCGCGCACAGGCCGGUGGAAUGGGUCCAGGCCGUGGUCAGCCGCUUCGACGAGCAGUUUCUUCAGCUUCCUCUCCUGGAGGGGGAAGAGCAGAAGCAAGCGGGGAAGAGCAGAAGAAAGCAAGGAAGGCACAGGUUUUCUUACUUUCUGCUCCAUCGUCUCAUCCUGCCCCGAGAGCUUCAAGUGCACACUCACUGCACAUCUUUGUGAUGCCCUACAACGUCGUCCCCCAUAUCCUGAUGACACAGACUGCCUUUUUUUUUUUUUAUUGCCGUUUGCAGUGGAAACCGUGGUUCUGAAAUAUCUUCCCCUUCCUUGAUAAUUGCAGUCUCUUCCCCCCCCCCCCUUUUUUUUUGCCAGCGGUCUGGGGAUGUGAUGCAUUCUCGAGUGAGAAUGUUGGGGAGUAAAGGGGAGAAGGGUGAAAGGAAAGUGAGAAACUGCUUCAGAGCCACCGACAACAGAGCAAAGCCAGCUGGGAUGUGGUCCUGGAGCGGAUCAUUCUGCUAGUGUUUGUGGUUGUUUUUGACUCUCUCCUGGUUGACAAGAGAACUUUCACUGAGAAUAUUUGGGAUGAAAAAAAAGUUUUGUAGCUUGAGGAGGUGACUUUUUAUCGCCUGAGUUUCACACAAUAAAUCCUGGGGCUGAUUAGAAUAAAUGCACACAUAGCCUUUUGUCAGUGGAAAUUGGUUUAACUUUGUGUUGCUGUAGGUAGUUGGGGAUGGUUUAAGGGAUGCUUUCUGCAGCUGUGGGUGCAGUGGGCUUCCUGUGAUGGGGGAAUUGUUUAAGAUUGAGUCAACCUAUUUUGUUUACUGAAUAUAAUGGUAAAACAUUAUGGGAGCUGAAGGGGUGGGGGAAGAGCUCUUCUGUUAUUUGAUGCAUAAACAUUUCUUUACGGGACUCAGAGCGUUUCAGACCUACCUGGAAAAUAUCUUGGAAUAGACAGAGGAAGUUGAGAAGAAGCUAUGUAGAUAAAAUAGAGUUAUGAAGCUGUCAGAGACUUGAAGGAAUUGUUUUAUCCAUUCG
rnacentral:lncRNA from 1 species